GGUUUCAGAGGUGGGGUUAGGAGCUGCAGCCUCCAGAGAAACCAGGCGAUAAAACCCCAAUACUUCAGGCUUCAUCUGGAACCAGCACAUAAGCAAAUGAGGACUCACCAUCCUCCCUGCCCACAACACCCUCUCCCUGGGACCAGAGACGCACUACCUUCCUGAGGCUAGGCAUCCCCUCAUCCCGUCUCCCCUCAGGCUUCCUGGUACCUAUGAGCAGAGACCACAGGUCUGGCUGAGGAUACCUUCAAGGCACCUUAGGUCAGCCUGAGUUGACGACCGUGACCAUGACGCUCAAGAAACCAGGGCUCAGAGAGGUUAAGCCACUUGCCCAAGGCCCCCACCUGGACGGGACUCCUGCUUUAUAUAUAGGACGCAGGUCCUGGAUCAUUCAGGACUAUGACUUCAUAGCUGUACGUGGGUUACACCGCUGAUGAGGUAUCCGUCCUCCACGAUCCCUCAGCAGGGGUUGCCCCACACGCGAGGGAUUGUGCAGGUGCUGGAGAUGGUGGUGAGCGAAAGAGGUCCCAUCCUUGCCACCCUGAAAGGCAGUUGGAGAAUAAAGGGCUUAAAGCACAGGUGCAACACCAGGUCUUCAAUGGCUCCAGGUCCCCUACCCCCACCCCAUGUUCCAUGACUGACAGCUGCCCCAGACAGACAUCUUUUGGAAUAUCUGCUCCACUCACAAUGACCAACUUCACUACAGGGAUGAAUGAACCCCAGUAUCCAGCAUUCUAUCCUGUGACCCACCCCUAUGGGUACAGUUGAUUGGAUAGUGGUGAGCUCCAGGUUCAAGCUAGGCCCCAAAUAUUCUCCUUGGGCAAUUUAAAGUUAGACUAGAGACUCCAUGUCAGCCUUGGGGCAUCUACUCACGGGAUGCUAAGGGUCCCCUUCUGCCAACUUACUGGCAAUGGGAGGCUGGUCUAUAGAGAGGCAAGAAUAAGAGAGGGAGAGGGGGUUCCAGCCAUGUCCCAGGUCUUAGUUCAAGUCCUUCUCGAGCUCUGGUUGUAUCUCAGCCCUGAGAUUCCAUGACACACCAGGAGAGAUCGGGGGCUUAAUAUUUGUUAUUUGGGUAUUAGAAGGGUGUCUGGCUUCUGCAAGUGGGAGAAGACAGGGACAUCUGGGUUCUUAGUGCAUAAAAAACCACCUCUCCUGGUAUGUGUGGCUGGGCCACCCAGUGUGGGGUCUAGAGGAAGAGGUGGCCCCCAGAAAUGGAGGAGCAGGGCAGGGCCCUGCAGACCGAGGAUGACAAGUCUAGAGAGGCAUGGAGGUAAGAGAAAGAAGGGCAGAGAUCUGCUUAUAGUCCUGACACCAGGGUCUGCAGCUAAUGGAAGAUGUGGGGGAACUCUACCAACUUUGCCAUGUUCAUGAUUUUACUCUCACCUUCACACAGCUGUGAAAAUUCUCAGAAAACCUCAUUAUGUUUCAUAAGUAAGAAGAAAACGUAGGAGGCUUUGUCUGGUCCUGACGUGGCUGGCAGAGGAGAAGGCAGGUCAGAAGCGACAGGCAGCCCUGCCCUUGAGGUCCAGAAAGGAGCGGGGAGGGGCGUGGGAUCUCUGCAGUGACAGGCAGCCCUGUGCCUGGACAGGGACUAGCAGUGGUGGCUUUGGGUGAGCAGGAGCCCCCCGGGCCUCAGGGUCCCUCUUCCCUUCCUCCCUCCCCAGCUCCCUGGCUAAGCAGAGAGUUGGACGUGAUUGUGGGAGAACACCUUUAUUCUGCCCGUGUCCCAGGUUCCCCAGGGCAGGAGGGAGAGGCUGGUGUGGUCAGGGCUGCAGGGGCUGCAGCCCAGAGUCAGGCUGGGGACGAGAGCACCGUGCUUCUUCCGGCGUGGCUGGAGACGGCUCACCAGAGUGGGUCACUUGGUCUGCAGCUUUAAGUCUGCUUCUGUCCCCAGGAGGGAAGGCAGCCGCAUCCCAGUGAAGGGGUGGAAGCCUGGGACCUGCUCUUGCUCUUGGAUCUGGUCUCUGAGGCGCUGGAUCUCCAGGCGCUGCAUCUCAAUGAUUCUCCCGGUUUCUUCUUGCUCAUUCAGUCUCAUGGUGGGAGGCAAGCCUGGUAAGUCUUUGCCGGACACUGUAGGGGACAGAGCAGGACUAGUGUGGGCCUGUUACUGGGCUGCUGCAAAGCUUAUCCUCCCUUCCCCCUCUAACCUCCAUCCCCGCACACAUUUAUGCAGCACCUGCUAUGGGGUAGACACUCCAACCCAGAUGCUAGGGAGAUGGAGAUGAGCCAUUUCACUGUCUAGCAGAGAAGGAGAAACGAAGAGACAUGCUUUGGAGCGAUAAGGCAAAUGCUAAACCUGACCUCAGCCCGGCCCCUCUCCUGAGCCCGGCAGUGUACCUGCCCCAAGCCCCCUCCAUUGGGGGCUGCUCAGUCCCCACACCCCAAGCAGAGUGGCACUCUCCUAUUGACCCGGGUUGGCCUCCAAGCUGCCAGUCCUCCUCCUCACGUAAACCUGCUCCCGGAGACCCCUCUCUAGCCCUCCUGCUGUGGCCACUGACUCAUGUUCCCUGAGGACGCCCCUCGAGACUCUCAGCCAUCCUCCUGUCUCAGUGCUGUCCUGGGUGAUGCUGGUGUCCACGAGGGUCCACGGCUCACCCCACUCCCCGGCCUCACGAGGCUAAACUCUCAGCAUUAAUUGUUUGGCCUGCACGUCAGCUCCACACCCACUCUGUGGCUUCCCCUCCCUUGCCACGCCCAGGAUCUUUCACUCUAGUGUUCCAUUCACCACUUCUUAGACUGAAUUUAGACCUCAUCUUCCUGGACAACUCCAUUUUUUACCUACUAAAUGGGUUCCUCUUAGAUUCACUCCUUUUCUGACCAGGUAGACCCACAGUGAGUUUCUUCUCCCAUCUAGAUGCCUCAUCCCUCUGCCCCAGGUACCCUGCCCAGCCUACAUCCAAGAUAAUCUGAGCAUCCAGGGUCGCCACUUUCACAUCUGGCCUGCUGUGCGUUACCGAUAAAAGUAACACACGAGAUUCAAGUUCUUGGUUUCCAACCCCAGACGGACUUUAUGUCCAUAGUCUGCAAACUCUCAUUCCCCACAGAAGCACUUAGGAACUUCGAUCUUUACUCCAACUCCUCUGCCCUACUUAGAAAAAAAAAUUGUGGUAAAAUCUAUAUAGCAUUUACUAACUUAACCAUUAAAAAAAAAUUUAUGUACUUAUUUAUUUAUUUGGCCGCACGGGUCUUAGUUGCAGCACUCGGGAUCUUCAUUGCUGCGUGUGGGAUCUUUUAGUUGUGGCAUGCGAACUCUUAGUUGCGGCAUGUGGGAUCUCUAGUUGUGGCAUGCGAACUCUUAGUUGCGGCAUGUGGGAUCUUUAGUUGCGGCAUGAGAACUCUUAGUUGCGGCAUGUGGGAUCUAGUUCCCUGACCAGGGAUCGAACCUGGGCCCCCUGCAUUGGGAGCGCAGAGUCUUAGCGACCGGACCACCAGGGAAGUCCCUUAACCAUUUUUAAGUGUAUGGUUUAGUAGUGUUAAGUACAUUCACAUUGUUGUGCAACUAAUCUCCAGAACUCUUCUCAUCCCGAAAAACUCAAACCCCAUCCCCAUUAAACAGCUCCCCAGUCCCCCCACCCCCAGCCCCUGGUAGCCACCAUUCUGCGUUCUGUCUUUAUGAAUUUGAUGACUCUAGGUAUCUCAGAUAAGUGGAAUCAUACGGUAUUUGUCCUUUUGUGUCUGGCUUAGCAUAAUGUCCUUAAGGCUCAUCUAUGUUGUAUCAUAUGUCAGAAUUUCCUUCCUUUUUAAGGUUGAAUAAUAUUUCAUUGCAUAUAUAGACCACAUUUUGUUUAUCCAUUCAUCUAUUGUUGGAAAUUUGGGUUGCUUCCACCUUUUGGCUACUGUGAAUAAUGUUGCUAUGAACAUGAGUGUACAAAUAUCCUCUUUGAGACCCUGCUUUCACUUCUUUUGGGUAUAAACCCAGAAGUGCAAUUUCUGGUUCAUAUGGUAACUCUGUUAUUAAUUUUUUGAGGAAACACCUUACUGUUUUCCUGUUUUACAUUCCAAUCAGCAGUGCACCAGGGUUCCAAUUUCUCCAGACCCUUGUCAACACUCGUUACUUUCUGGGUUUUUUGUUUGUUUUUUCUUUUUGGUUUGGUUUAUUUUGACAGUAGCCAUCCUAAUGAGUGUGACACAGUAUCUCAUUGUGGCUUUGAUUUCAUUUCCCUAAUUGUUAGUAAUACUGAGCAUUUUUCAUGUGCUUCUUGGCCAUCUGUGUAUCUUCUUGGAGAAGUGUCUAUAGUCCUUUGCCCAUUUUUAAAUCAGGUUUGUUUGUUUGUUUGUUUUGGAGUUGUAGGAGUUCUUUAUAUAUUCUGGACAUUGACCCCUUAUUAGCUGUAUGAUUUCUCUCAUUCCCUAGGUUGACUUUUCACUCUGUUGAUUGUGUUCUUUGAUGCACAGAAGUUUUAAAUUUUGACAGUCUAAUUUAUUAUAUAUUUUCUUUUGUUGCCUGUGCUUUUGAUAUCAUAUCCAAGAAGUUAUUGCCAAAUCCAUCCUCUCCUCUUCUCUUAAUGGAUGACAUUGCCACCGUCUUCACUGAGGAACGGUGUCCCCAACUCCCUCACCACAGUCAAUCUUCUCUCAGUGGAAGAGGGUUCUCUUUCCUAUCUGCUGCCAACCCCUUCCCUGGAGGAAAAACUAGAAAAGAACAGACGAUGGUGGCCAAGGAAGAGAGUAUUUUAAAGAGGAAGUGGUCAGCAGUGGCCAGUGGCCAGCUUGCCUUGGCCUCUAAUUGACCUGAUGGGGCCAGCAUUCAGAGUACUCAACUUAUCCCAUCCUUCCCAGGAGAAGUCUGGAUCCUUCUCUGUCUGCCUUUGCUCCUUGCCUCUUCUCCUUUACUGCAAUUUCUAGACUCUUGAUCUUUCUAGGCUCUUGAUUUCUUCUCUUUUCUAGGUCUUGACCCUUCAUCCACCUUCUGCUACUGGUUGUCCCUGGUAACCAUCUCCUCAGUCAAGCUGUGGCCUAGCCAUGGAGCCCUGGGAAAAGUAGCACCCCUGGGAAGGUAUAGCACACAAAAGCCUACCAGCCCAUCCACCUACCAGCCCCUCCACCUUCUUGGGCCUGCGUCACUCGCCUCUGCCUAGUUUCUGUUUACGUCCCUGCCUGCUUUUUUCAUAUACUUAUUAUAGGCAUCUGUAUAUUUUCUUUGGAGAAAUGUCUAUUCAAUUCCUUUGCUUAUUAAAAAAAUUUUUUUUGUUGUUGUUCUAGUUAAGUUGUAAGAGUUCCUUAUAUAUUCUGGAUGUCAACACUUUAUCAGAUAUGUGAUUUUCAAAUAUCUUCUCCCAUACCAUAGGUUGCCUUUUCACACUUUUCGAUUGUGUUCUUUGAUGCACAAAAGCUUUAAAUUUGGAUGUAGUCCAAUUUAUCUACUUUCUUUUUGUUGUCUGUACUUUUGAUGUCCUAUCUAAGAAAUCAUUGCAAAAUCUAAUAUAAUGAAGUUUCCCCCUAUAUUUUCUUCUAUGAGUUUUAUAGUUUUAGCUCUUAUGUUUAAGUCUUUCAUCCACUUUGAGUUAAAUUUUGUAUAUGAUGUAAGGUAAGGGUCCAACUUCAUUCCUUUGCAUGUGGGUAUCCAGUUUUCCCAGCACCAUUUGUUGAAAAGAUUGUCCUUUCCUCAUUGAAUAGUCUUGACACCCACAUUGAAAAUCAUUUGACCAUAUAUGUGAGUGUUUAUUUCUGGGCUCUGUAUUCUAUUCCAUUGGUCUAUAUGUCUAUAUUUAUGCCAGUACCAUACUGUUUUGAUUACUAUAGCUUUGCUGUAAAUUUUGAAAUAGGAAGUGUGAGGCCUUCAACUUUGUUCUUUUUCAAGAGUUUUGGCUAUUUGGGGUACCUUGAAACUCCCAAUGAAUUUUAGAAUGGAUGUUCUAUUUCUGCAAAAAAAUGUCAUUGGGAUUUUGAUAGGGAUUACAUUGAAUGUGUAGAUCACUUUAGAUAGUAUUGACAUUUUAAUAAAUCUUCCAGUCCAUGAACAAAAGAUGUCUUUCCAUUUGCUGGUCCUAAGCCAGACUUAGGUUCUUCAUGAUCAAGGCAGACAAUUGGUAAUACCUGUCUUCAGCCACUACUGAUGAAACCUCCCUUGAGUAAAGCUCUAUGACACAAGUGGCAUGAUAUUUGGUUUGCUUCAGAAUAAUCUACUAUGGGUGUGGGAGGGAAUAAUUGGGGGGGUGUGGCGAUAGCGAUGAAACAAGAGCGACCGUUGUUCAAGUCAGGGAAUGAAUUCAUGGGGAUUCAUUAGAAUUUCUCUCAAUUUUUGUCUAUGCCUGAUAGUUUCCAACAGUAAUAAGAAGAAGCUGGCUGUAUCAUACAGCAUCCUGAGGAGGUCUCCACUGGUUAUUUGCUAGGCCGCUGGGGCAUAUUUGAAAUAAUUUUCUAAAAGAGAAGUUUUGUGAUUGUUCACAGACACAUCUAUGCUUCACCUCCAACUGAAGAUGGUUUCACCUCCAAGAAGUCAAGUUCUGUCUUUUUUUUUAACAGAUUGAUUAAUUAAAUUAAAUUAAUUUAUUUA